UAUCAAAAAAAUCUACCUACACUCCCUGACCUAUACAGGCCUCUGCUAUGGGGGUGAUGGCCAGUCCUUGUGUCUGAGUGAUU